GCACGUCCAGACUCGCCUGCCACACCACACCACGCCAGGUUGAGCUGCUAUCUCUCUCCGACGCCAUGGAGACCCUCGCCGCGACGCCUCGGCCGCUCUUCCCGGGCGCGUCCCCGGCGGCAUUGAUGGCAACGGCGGCGAGACGGACGACGCCACCGGCCCGGCGUCGCUGCGCCGGCGCCGCUCCUGUCAGAGCCGCCUCCGCUGCGGCCGCCGGGGAGGAGAAGCCGGCUGCGGCUCCGAAGGCAGCCGCCGCGGCCGGGGAUGGCGCGGCGCCCAAGAAGCUCCUGAAGAAGAAGCCAGUCUACUCGAGUAAGAUACCGGAUGCAUGGAUCCCGCAGAACAGUUGAUUGAUUCUGCAUAUCGUAGCCUUGAUGAACUCAACUGAACUUUGGAUCCUUCUCUCUCUGUUUGUGGCUGCGUGCAGUGAAGAAAGGGCAGAUUGUGCGCGUGGACAAGGAGAAGUACCUGAACAGCAUCAACGUGCGUUGGGUUCAUACUUUCAAUUCGUCGUCGAUCGUUUCUCUCAUGCGUGCGUGUAGUGUAUAGUGCAGUGCAGUACAGUACAGCAUGCAAUUCGCUGACUGCUAGCUGCACAUGAUGUGUGUAUUUCAGUACCUGUCAGUGGGACAUCCACCCUUCUACAAAGGCCUGGACUACAUCUACGAAGACCGCGGCGAGGUAUAUAACUAGCUAAUUUCUCAUGACUCCAUUCAGUUCAGUGAGGUGAUCAACCAUCAGCUCAGCAACAAGACCGCUACGAGUUUGAUGAUUUGUAUCGACGAGUGCAGGUCUUGGACAUCAAAAUCUUUGAAACCGGAGAAUACGCCCUGGUCAGUCAAUUCCAGCUGCAUGCAUGCUACCUGCUCUUUAAUCUGCCGUUCUGAUCUUCUUCAGAUCAAAUCGUGCCUUGCUGAUCGAUGUGAUUUCCUGACGCAUGCAGAUCGCGUGGGUGGGGAUUCCGACACCACCGGCAUGGCUGCCAACUUACAUGCUCAUCAAGGUAUCUUAAUGCUACUGCAUCACUUGGCAUUAUUAUUCUGCUGCGUGCGUCCGUGCGUAUAAACGACGAUGCCAUUAACCGUGCCUUGCUGAUCGAUCUGAUUUCCCAGCCGAUGAUCUGCCCGCUGUCUGAGUAAAUAGAAAUCAGCAGUAGCUUAAGUUACCGAAACCGAUUGCCUCUACAGUAUAUAUGAAUCAGGGAAGCACUCACCUCUCUCGUGACAUGUGAUUGUUUGCAGUCGGACAAGCUGGACUACGAGAGGAUAUGAUGGCCGCGGCCGGCCUCGCAAGGACCUUUUUCAGUUAACAGUUCUCAGUUCAUCCGGCGGAGCACGCGCCAUCGCCAUGCCACAUGUUCAGUCUGUUGUACUAGAUGCAAAAUGCCAACCCAGU
rnacentral:lncRNA from 1 species